rnacentral:ncRNA from 1 species
ACCAAGGGUAGAGGCGCAUCGUCUAUCAGUAGCAAGUCGGAGGGUGAUUCCGAUGAGGGCUUGCAAAAGGAGCCGGUGCCGAAGUGAGAGAGGGUCAUCAUGCCUGCUCGCUGGGGUUGUCAUCGAAUAGAGGCAACACUGCCAUAGUAUAUAAUUACAUUAACUAUGGAGCGCUACUGUGGAG